rnacentral:rRNA from 1 species
UGAGGAAUAUUGGUCAAUGGACGCAAGUCUGAACCAGCCAAGUAGCGUGCAGGAUGACGGCCCUCCGGGUUGUAAACUGCUUUUAGUUGGGAAUAAAAAGAGGGACGUGUCCCUCAUUGUAUGUACCUUCAGAAAAAGGACCGGCUAAUUCCGUGCCAGCAGCCGCGGUAAUACGGAAGGUCCAGGCGUUAUCCGGAUUUAUUGGGUUUAAAGGGAGCGUAGGCGGAUUAUUAAGUCAGUGGUGAAAGACGGUGGCUCAACCAUCGUUAGCCAUUGAAAAUGGUAGUAUUGAGUGCAGACAGGGAUGCUGGAACGCGUGGUGUAGAGGUGAAAUGCUUAGAUAUCACGAUGAACUCCGAUCGCGAAGGCAGGUGUCCGGGCUGCAACUGACGCUGAGGCUCGAAAGUGUGGGUAUAAAACAGG